AUUGAACGCUGGCGGAAUGCUUUACACAUGCAAGUCGAACGGUAGAGGGGGCAACCCUCGAGAGUGGCGAACGGGUGAGUAAUAUAUCGGAACGUGCCCAGUCGUGGGGAUAACGUAGCGAAAGUUACGCUAAUACCGCAUACGAUCUACGGAUGAAAGCGGGGGACUCGCAAGAGCCUCGCGCGAUUGGAGCGGCCGAUAUCAGAUUAGGUAGUUGGUGGGGUAAAGGCUCACCAAGCCAACGAUCUGUAGCUGGUCUGAGAGGACGACCAGCCACACUGGAACUGAGACACGGUCCAGACUCCUACGGGAGGCAGCAGUGGGGAAUUUUGGACAAUGGACGCAAGUCUGAUCCAGCCAUUCCGCGUGCAGGAUGAAGGCCCUCGGGUUGUAAACUGCUUUUGUACGGAACGAAAAGGUCUCUAUUAAUACUAGGGGCUCAUGACGGUACCGUAAGAAUAAGCACCGGCUAACUACGUG
rnacentral:rRNA from 1 species